UUACCUAGGCUUGACAUGUGGUGAGUAGCGAACCGAAAGGGGAGCGACCCGUCAAAUCGGGCCAUCACACAGGUGCUGCAUGGCUGUCGUCAGCUCGUGCCGUGAGGUGUUGGGUUCAGUCCCGCAACGAGCGCAACCCUCGCCCUUUGUUGCCAUCGGGUAAAGCCGGGCACUCUAAGGGGACUGCCAGCGACAAGUUGGAGGAAGGGAGAGGAUGACGUCAAGUCAUCAUGGCCUUUAUGCCUAGGGCCACACACGUGCAACAAUGGCCGGUACAGACGGAGGCAAUGCCGAGAGGCGGAGCAAACCCGAGAAAACCGGUCCCAGUUCGGAUUGAGGUCUGCAACUCGACCUCAUGAAGUCGGAAUCGCUAGUAAUCGCAUAUCAGAACGAUGCGGUGAAUACGUUCCCGGGCCUUGUACACACCGCCCGUCACACCACGAAAGUUUGUUGUACCCGAAGU
rnacentral:rRNA from 1 species